rnacentral:rRNA from 1 species
AUUGAACGCUGGCGGCAUGCUUUACACAUGCAAGUCGAACGGUAGGGUAGCAAUACCUGAGAGUGGCGAACGGGUGAGUAAUGCAUCGGAACAUGCCUAUUUGUGGGGGAUAGCCCGGCGAAAGCCGGAUUAAUACCGCAUACGAUCUACGGAUGAAAGCUGGGGACCGCAAGGCCUAGCGCAAAUAGAGUGGCCGAUGUCAGAUUAGCUAGUUGGGGGGGUAAAGGCUCACCAAGGCAACGAUCUGUAGCUGGUUUGAGAGAACGACCAGCCACACUGGGACUGAGACACGGCCCAGACUCCGACGGGAGGCAGCAGUGGGGAAUUUUGGACAAUGGGCGCAAGCCUGAUCCAGCAAUGCCGCGUGCAGGAUGAAGGCCUUCGGGUUGUAAACUGCUUUUGUGCGGAACGAAACGGCUCUGGUUAAUACCCGGGGCUAAUGACGGUACCGUAAGAAUAAGCACCGGCUAACUACGUGCCAGCCGCCGCGGUAAGAC